CCUACGGGAGGCUGCAGUCGAGAAUCAUUCACAAUGGGGGAAACCCUGAUGGGGCGACGCCGCGUGGGGGAAUGAAGGUCUACGGAUUGUAAACCCCUGUCAUGUGGGAGCAAAUUAAAAAGAUAGUACCACAAGAGGAAGAGACGGCUAACUCUGUGCCAGCAGCCGCGGUAAUACAGAGGUCUCAAGCGUUGUUCGGAAUCACUGGGCGUAAAGCGUGCGUAGGCUGUUUCGUAAGUCGGGUGUGAAAGGCGCGGGCUCAACCCGCGGACGGCACAUGAUACUGCGAGACUAGAGUAAUGGAGGGGGAACCGGAAUUCUCGGUGUAGCAGUGAAAUGCGUAGAUAUCGAGAGGAACACUCGUUGCGAAGGCGGGUUCCUGGACAUUAACUGACGCUGAGGCACGAAGGCCAGGGGAGCGAAAAGGAUUAGAUACCCCAGUAGUC
rnacentral:rRNA from 1 species